CCAAUAGCGUAUAUUAAAGUUGUUGCAGUUAAAAAGCUCGUAGUUGAAUUUCGGGAUUGACACAUCGGUCGUGCCCUAAGGGGUAUGAACUGGUGUAGUCAAUUUCUCACCUUCUGGAGAACCGCGCUGUCCUUAAUUGGGUGACGCGGGGAACCAGGACCUUUACUUUGAAAAAAUUAGAGUGUUUAAAGCAGGCAUUUUGCUUGAAUACAUUAGCAUG
rnacentral:rRNA from 1 species